UUCCGGUUGAUCCCGCCGGACCUGACUGCUAUCGGAUUGAUACUAAGCCAUGCGAGUUAUUGUAGCAAUACAAGGCAGACGGCUCAGUAACGCGUAGUCAACCUAACCUAUGGACGGGAAUAACCUCGGGAAACUGAGAAUAAUGCCCGAUAGAACACUAUGCCUGGAAUGGUUUGUGUUCAAAAUGAUUUAUCGCCGUAGGGUGGGACUGCGGCCUAUCAGUUUGUUGGUGAGGUAAUGGCCCACCAAGACUAUUACAGGUACGGGCUCUGAGAGGAGUGGCCCGGAGAUGGGUACUGAGACACGGACCCAGGCCCUAUGGGGCGCAGCAGGCGAGAAAACUUUGCAAUGUGCGAAAGCACGACAAGGUUAAUCCGAGUGGUUUCUGCUAAAGGAACCUUUUGUCGGUCCUAGAAACACCGAUGAAUAAGGGGUGGGCAAGUUCUGGUGUCAGCCGCCGCGGUAAAACCAGCACCUCAAGUGGUCAGGAUGAUUAUUGGGCCUAAAGCAUCCGUAGCCUGCUUUGUUAGUUUUCGGUUAAAUCUGUACGCUCAACGUACAGGCUGCCGGAAAUACUGCAAAGCUAGGGAGUGGGAGAGGUAGACGGUACUCGGUAGGAAGGGGUAAAAUCCUUUGAUCUAUUGAUGACCACCUGUGGCGAAGGCGGUCUACCAGAACACGUCCGACGGUGAGGGAUGAAAGCUGGGGGAGCAAACCGGAUUAGAUACCCGGGUAGUCCCAGCUGUAAACCAUGCAAACUCAGUGAUGCAUUGGCUUGUGGCCAAUGCAGUGCUGCAGGGAAGCCGUUAAGUUUGCCGCCUGGGAAGUACGUACGCAAGUAUGAAACUUAAAGGAAUUGGCGGGGGAGCACCACAAGGGGUGAAGCCUGCGGUUCAAUUGGAGUCAACGCCGGG
rnacentral:rRNA from 1 species